rnacentral:rRNA from 1 species
AUUGAACGCUGGCGGCAUGCUUUACACAUGCAAGUCGAACGGUAACAGCACUUCGGUGGCUGACGAGUGGCGAACGGGUGAGUAAUACAUCGGAACGUGCCUAGUAGUGGGGGAUAACUACUCGAAAGAGUAGCUAAUACCGCAUGAGAUCUAAGGAUGAAAGCAGGGGACCUUCGGGCCUUGCGCUACUAGAGCGGCUGAUGGCAGAUUAGGUAGUUGGUGGGAUAAAAGCUUACCAAGCCGACGAUCUGUAGCUGGUCUGAGAGGACGACCAGCCACACUGGGAUUGAGACACGGCCCAGACUCCUACGGGAGGCAGCAGUGGGGAAUUUUGGACAAUGGGCGCAAGCCUGAUCCAGCAAUGCCGCGUGCAGGAUGAAGGCCUUCGGGUUGUAAACUGCUUUUGUACGGAACGAAAAGCCCUCUUCUAAUACAGGAGGGUCAUGACGGUACCGUAAGAAUAAGCACCGGCUAACUACGUG